rnacentral:tRNA from 1 species
CGGGGCGUAGCGCAGCCUGGUAGCGCGUCCGUCUGGGGGGCGGGAGGUCGCUGGUUCAAGUCCAGUCGCCCCGACCA